ACACAUAGAAUCAGAGCGGGACAAGCACCCAUAGAAACACUUGGAAUGUAAACGUUGAAGACCUAGCAAGGUUACGUAGUGCAGUCAUCAUGUGCGACUGUUUGAGGGAAACGAGCACGAAGAUGUAGGAAAAAUGAGUAGCUUAGAGAAGCGAGCAUAUAAGAUUAGCAUUUAGAGGAAUGGCCGACCCUUUUCGUAAGAGGCACC
rnacentral:lncRNA from 1 species